rnacentral:rRNA from 1 species
UUUUUUAAUUGAAAGCUUGUAUGAAAGGUUUAAUGAAAUAUAAGCUGUCUCAUAAAAAUUUAUAAAAUUUAAUUUUUUAGUUAAAAAGCUAAAAUAAAAUUUAUAGACGAGAAGACCCUAUAGAGUUUUAUAAAAAAAUAUUUUUUUUUAAUUUAAAAAAUUUAUAUUAAAAUAUUAUUUUUUUUAUUUUGUUGGGGUGAUAAUAAAAAUUAAAAAUCUUUUAUUAAUUAUUAACAAAAAUUUUUGAUUAAGUGAUCCAUUAUUAUUGAUUAAAAGAUUAAAUUACCUUAGGGAUAACAGCGUAAUUUUUUUGGAGAGUUCUUAUCAAUAAAAAAUUUUGC